rnacentral:rRNA from 1 species
GGGCUCACACAAGCGGUGGAGGAUGUGGCUUAAUUCGAGGCUACGCGAAGAACCUUACCUAGACUUAACAUGUUUGAGAAUCUCUGUGAAAGCAGAGAGUGCCUUUCGGGGAACUCUUACGUAGGUGCUGCAUGGCUGUCGUCAGCUCGUGUCGUGAGAUGUCGGGUUAAGUCCCUUAACGAGCGAAACCCUUAUCUUCAGUUGCCAGCGAGUAAUGUCGGGGACUCUGGAGAGACUGCCGGUGUUAAACCGGAGGAAGGUGGGGAUGACGUCAAGUCCUCAUGGCCUUUAUGUCUAGGGCUGCACACGUCCUACAAUGCAACGUACAAAGCGACGCGAAAUCGCGAGAUCAAGCAAACCGCACAAAACGUUGCCCAGUUCGGAUUGCAGGCUGAAAUUCGCCUGCAUGAAGCCGGAAUCGCUAGUAA